rnacentral:misc_RNA from 1 species
UGGAAAUUGUGUUCAGUGGCAAAGCAGGGGAUAAUUGUUGUGUUCGUGGAAAACUGCCAAGAAACCUAAUGAACUUUCAAGCAUCAAAGAAUGCAUUUUCACAAUUCACAUCACAUGUUGUCUAUCUUAACCUCCCAUUCUUGAAUUCAUGCACAUGUAUGAACUCCCAAGAUUUAGGUGCCUCUCCCUCUUACGCUUAAAGCCAAAAACCAAACACCAACCCAACAAAAUUCUUGCCCAAUUAAUCAUCCAUGACCUCAAAUCACCUACCCUUUUGGCCAAGCUAAUAGAGCAAUAUUGUUCUUUAUCAAGCACACGCCAAGCUCAGUUGAUAUUCUCACACUUUCACUACCCAAACCUGUUUCUCUUUAACACUUUAAUUAGAUGUACCCAACCUCAAGAGUCGAUACAUAUUUUUGCUAAUUGGGUUUCCAAGCAUGACUUAGUUUUCGAUGAUUUUACGUGCCUUUAUGUUCUUGGUUCUUGCGCUAGAUCUCCUUCAUCGUCAACAUUAUGGCUGGGGAGACAAAUACAUGCGCAAGCCCUUAAAUUUGGAUUUAUGUCAAAUAUAUUGCUGGCAACUACAUUUAUACAUUUCUAUGCAAAUAACCGGGAUAUUUGUUCAGCGAGAAAAGUGUUUGAUGAAAUGACUAAGAGAAGUUUGGUUACGUGGAAUGCAAUGAUAACCGGGUACAGUUCACAGAAAGAGAAGGCCAAAGAAUAUGCCCGUGAUGCGCUACUGUUGUUUAGAGACAUGGUGGUUGAUCUUUGUGGAGAGAAACCAAAUGAUACUACCAUGGUUUGUGUUCUUUCGUCAAGUUCUCAAGUGGGGGUGCUUGAAAGUGGCGUUUGUAUUCAUGGUUAUAUAGAGAAGACGAUUUGUAAGCCUGAAAAUGAUGUUUAUAUUGGCACUGGUUUAGUUGAUAUGUACUCAAAAUGUGGGUGUCUUGAUAGCGCUUUAAACAUCUUUUCUGAAAUGAAGGUAAAGAAUGUGUUGACUUGGACAGCAAUGGCCACUUGCUUAGCCAUUCACGGGAAAGGGAAAGAAGCAUUGGAGCUCUUGGAUGCCAUGGCCGUAGGUGGUGUUAAACCUAAUGCGGUGACUUUCACUAGCUUAUUUUCAGCUUGUUGUCAUGCAUGCCUUGUUGAGGAGGGGCUUCAUUUGUUUCACAAUAUGGAGAGCAAAUUCGGGCUUGAACCUCAAAUACAGCACUAUGGUUGCGUUGUUGAUCUUCUCGGCAGAGCAGGGCACUUAAAAGAAGCAUACGAGUUCAUAGCAGGAAUGCCAGUUGAGCCUGAUGUCAUAUUGUGGAGGAGUCUGUUGAGUGCCUGUAAAAUUCAUGGGGAUGUUGUGUUGGGUGAGAAAGUGGCAAAGAUGCUCCUCCACUCGCAGCAAGUAAAGAAUUCUGUGGUUUCGUAUUAUACUGGUGAGGACUAUGUAGCGUUGUCAAAUGUUUUUGCUUCAGCAGAAAGGUGGGAAGAUGUGGAGAUGGUGAGAAAGGAAAUGAAGGUUAAGAAGAUAGAAACAAAGCCUGGCGCUAGUUUAGUUCAAGCCAUUAACCAUCACCUUUUGGAAGUUUAAGUGUAGAAUGGAGUAUCAAUUGGGCGGGUGAUGCUAGGGAUAGAAAUUCAAGAUGUGAACAGUAGAAAAUAACUGGAUGGGAAAAUCAUAAAUGCAGAGACCGAUGGAGAUGGAAAUAGAUGGGCAUAAAGACAGUAUGAUCAGAAAGAGUUAUUGCAAGGUUCUAACAAUGUAAUACAGGAAAGAAAGAUCCCACUUGCUAUUCCCUCGAAAUUGUCUGUGUAACAAAAGGAGUGAAUUCAUGCAUUGGUUUUAGGUAAAUACAAGAUUGAAAACGUAGCACCUACUAGUUGACCUCUUGUAAGGACAAUCCAUGUAAAAUUCAUCAGAUAUAAAAGAUGCUGGUGCUCAAUGAUCAGCAAUUCUCCUGUGCUGAUGUAAAAUUGCAAGCUUAAUCACUUUUUUGUGCCUGUGCCGUUGACAUAACACUUUUAAUCAUUAAGGGGUUAUGGAUAGAUUACCUGCCACAUGAGAAGAGGAAAGAACAAAUAAUAUGUUAUAAAACUUUUGGUUUAAGCAAUGCUUUCACAAAAACAGCCUAAUGGCAUCUUGUCCUGUAAGCCCUAACCAUUCCAAGAAACACGUCAGCCUUGGAAAAUUUGAUGAUUGUUUUGAUGAACUAUUCUAGACGGCAAGCUGCUGUCACAUGAUAAAUUGAAGGUUAAAAAUAGCUGUUUGAUUCAGCAUGUAGUUAAAGAAUGGAGCCUUUUACAUACAGCUGAACUGAAAAUCAUGCUAGAACAAAUUGCUCCUUGACAACGUCCUUCUGUAAAACCAUCUUCACACUUGGGGCCAUUCUGUUUGUUACUGCUGCUCCCCAUUGAACUGGGGCCCGAAAGGAGUUGCAGUCCCGCGGAUUCGUUUCUGCAAGUGCUCCAAGCUAGCCACUCUCUGCAAGGAAGCUGUUCGUCCCAACUUGUUCUCUGUUAGUCCUGCUGCUCCAGAAUGUAGCUGCACAUUUUCAACAGAAGAGACGUCUGCCAAAGCAUUGUUGACUUGUGGAUCAUGAGUGGACAUUGCGUUAUUUGGAGGCUGAUAAAAGUGAUGCUUUGGGUCAUCUUGGACAGGAACAGCAGCAUCCGUUGAUGUGUCAGAAGGGCUUCCAUCAAAGGAUGGCAUGCUUAUUGUGGAUAUCUCAGGCAUGGCAUGGAAUAUAGGAUUCACCCCAGUAAUCCUUUUGACUGUCUCCUCGGCCAUCUUCACCUGGAAAUGCAAUCAUCAAAUGACAUGGCACAGCAAAAUGUAAGUUUUCUGUCUCCUGUAUGUAAAGAUCUCCACCCUUAAGAUAUACAUCAUAUAUGCAUGCACGAAAGCAUGUGCGCAUGGGGGAGGAAGAAAAAGCAGUGAGGCCAUAAGAACAUUGAGUCUUAAUCUUCCAGCUCAAAAGGGUGUGUGAGUAUUCAGCAAGCACUAGGAAUUUUGGUGCGAGUUUUGAGAGUAAACCAUCCAGCAUGGUUCUCAAGUUUAUUGACAACAUUUUAAAAUCACUUACCUUUGCUCUCAAUGUUUCAACAUCAGCUUUUAAAACUCUGUUAUCAACAGCUGCCCCAUUGUACUUGUGGCCUAUGUCAGAAAGACGCUUUAAUAGAGAAGAAUUUUCAACUCUCAAUUGAGCAACCUAUAAAGUAUAAAGAAUGAAGGCAUUUAGUAGUUCGAUAGAAAUGAGAUGUUUAUAAGUGAAAGUAAGUAGCCACUAAAAAGAACCACACCUGUGUCUCAAGAUCAGUCAAAUGGGCCUGUUUUCUUCUUCUCGAUCGUCUAGCUGACUCUCUAUUUGAAAGCAUUCUGAAAGACAGCAAAAGAUUCAUAGUGAAUGGAAAUUACGAAGUAUCUGAAGAUUAAAAUUGAUCAAUGUAAUCAAAUAAUAGAAAAAAAAAUUUUAAUGAGUGCAUGUUUGGGUGUCAUGUGUAUUAAAUAUGAUACUAACUGCUACUUUCUAACUGCGUGCAUGAUAUUAACCUUUGAAGAUAAAAGUACUUGGAAGACCUAAAACCUUCUCAGAGACACAGAAAGGAAAUGAUUUUGAUCAAACUAUCCGUUUAGCAUUAUUUAUUUUAGGCAUGUUUCAUUUGGCUUACAAUCUAAUUCCACAUGCAUGAGAUUUACCCUGAGAACACACUGUAAAAUCAGUUUUAUGAGCUGUCAUAUAUAGUAAAGAAAUAAAUUUAUAUUGCACAAAUUUGACUGGACAUUCUCUUGACCACCCUGGCCACUAUGCCAAAAUACAUGCUCUAUUCUGCAGGUUUGUGGUAACAAAAAAGAAUAAUGGCUAACCAUUAAAGAUGAGAUCCAGAAAAUAUGGUCUUGCAAGAAGUGUGCAACACUUAUCAAACGAAAUGAACACAACUUUCCCAUUAUACAGAGAAAUCAAAAUUUGAGUUUCAACAUAUCCAGGCUAGGAGCAACAAAUCUGUGAUAUUAGAACUCGAGCAUCAGAGACAAUUGUUACCUCCUUACACGUUUUGCAUUAGCAGGGUCCAUAUUCUCAGUUAUUUCAGUUUCACCUUCAUUUUCAUCAUCUUCUGACUGCUCUCUUGAUGAUCCACUUGUUGGCUUCACAGUAGCUCCAGAUUUCUUUUGUGUGCUAUGUAUGGAGGAGAUUCCAACUGGUCCAUUAGCAUCCAUAUCUUGUGACGUGGACAAGUCACAUCCAGCCCCUGAAUAAGCAGUUAAAAGGAUAAUUAUGCUAAAAGAACAAAAAAUGCAUUAUAAGAGAAUCUGGGCUGCUUGUGUCAUUCAGAUGCAAAUAUUUUGGUGAUGAUUGGCAUUCUGCUAGGCAAAUCCAGCAAGACUUACAUUCCACAUUGAUCAAAUUUUACCCUUCUCAACUACCACACAGUUUCUGCCAAACAAUAUUUUUCACCUGUUAAGUUCAGCCUGUAGGAUAAGCAAGACCAAGUAAAAUUUAAUGCUUCCAAGCAUGGGUACAAAAUUCGUUUGGAUAUUAUAAACUAACUGCCGGAAAAUGUUAUUUGAAGGGAAAAGCUGUAGAAACACUUUAUGGUGCUUAUAUUACGUUUCAUGUUCAUUUACCAUUAAUAUGGCAUGUGAUCUGAUGAUUAGGGUGAUUAUGCAACUAGCCAAUAGCCACAUUUCUCAAGUCUCACUGACUUGCUAAUUAUAUAAGCUACUUUUAAAAUUAUACAAGGAUCCUUGUUGAGGUUUCUUUGCUAAUCAGCACAUCUAAUAUUUGUAUAUCCUUCUUUAUUAUAAUGAAAAAGCCUUCACAUUCCAAAAAGGUACACAAUUACAUUCAUAAACAUGGACAUUGGACUAAUAGAUUAAGUGAUGCAAACCUUUAGAAGUAGCAUGAGAUCCUAAUUGUGAAGCAUUUGAAGCCUGCGAUCCACUGUCAGCUCUAGCAGGAGAAUCUUGAGGUUUCAGAAAAGAUGCCCGGGACAGGGCAACGGCGGCGCAAGCCAAAUUGAGUUUACAUUUCAAGAACAUCUGGUACUCCUCGGAAUCCACCGGAAUAUUCGGAGGAGCACCAGGAGCAGCAGCUACAUUAAACGGCGGGGUACGUCGCGCAUUGCUAAAUGACGAUGAAGCAGUCGUUUUGUCAUUGUCCUUGAUCUCAAGGACGUCGCUUUUGUCACCAGCAGGAGCUGAAGAAGAUUGCGGCGAGGAGUCAGAGGCAGAAGCAGAAACAGCAAUAACAGAAGCCUCUUGGAGGAAGCGCUGGAAGGCCCACUCAGAUUCGCUCCGGUUCAUCUUGGAGGGAUCGUCACGUUGAGCAGAAGGUGGAGGGGACGGGGGCGGUGACCAUAACUGGUCAGAGAUUUCCCCGACUGAGAAAGCCCUAUCCAUAUAUAUAUAUACUUUGGUUGCG